GGGUUGUGAGGUUAAGCGACUAAGCGUACACGGUGGAUGCCCUGGCAGUCAGAGGCGAUGAAGGACGUGCUAAUCUGCGAUAAGCGUCGGUGAGGUGAUAUGAACCGUUAUAACCGGCGAUUUCCGAAUGGGGAAACCCAGUGUGUUUCGACACACUAUCAUUAACUGAAUCCAUAGGUUAAUGAGGCGAACCGGGGGAACUGAAACAUCUAAGUACCCCGAGGAAAAGAAAUCAACCGAGAUUCCCCCAGUAGCGGCGAGCGAACGGGGAGGAGCCCAGAGCCUGAAUCAGUGUGUGUGUUAGUGGAAGCGUCUGGAAAGGCGCGCGAUACAGGGUGACAGCCCCGUACACAAAAAUGCACAUGCUGUGAGCUCGAUGAGUAGGGCGGGACACGUGGUAUCCUGUCUGAAUAUGGGGGGACCAUCCUCCAAGGCUAAAUACUCCUGACUGACCGAUAGUGAACCAGUACCGUGAGGGAAAGGCGAAAAGAACCCCGGCGAGGGGAGUGAAAAAGAACCUGAAACCGUGUACGUACAAGCAGUGGGAGCCUCUUAAUGGGGUGACUGCGUACCUUUUGUAUAAUGGGUCAGCGACUUAUAUUCUGUAGCAAGGUUAACCGAAUAGGGGAGCCGAAGGGAAACCGAGUCUUAACUGGGCGUUAAGUUGCAGGGUAUAGACCCGAAACCCGGUGAUCUAGCCAUGGGCAGGUUGAAGGUUGGGUAACACUAACUGGAGGACCGAACCGACUAAUGUUGAAAAAUUAGCGGAUGACUUGUGGCUGGGGGUGAAAGGCCAAUCAAACCGGGAGAUAGCUGGUUCUCCCCGAAAGCUAUUUAGGUAGCGCCUCGUGAAUUCAUCUCCGGGGGUAGAGCACUGUUUCGGCAAGGGGGUCAUCCCGACUUACCAACCCGAUGCAAACUGCGAAUACCGGAGAAUGUUAUCACGGGAGACACACGGCGGGUGCUAACGUCCGUCGUGAAGAGGGAAACAACCCAGACCGCCAGCUAAGGUCCCAAAGUCAUGGUUAAGUGGGAAACGAUGUGGGAAGGCCCAGACAGCCAGGAUGUUGGCUUAGAAGCAGCCAUCAUUUAAAGAAAGCGUAAUAGCUCACUGGUCGAGUCGGCCUGCGCGGAAGAUGUAACGGGGCUAAACCAUGCACCGAAGCUGCGGCAGCGACACUAUGUGUUGUUGGGUAGGGGAGC
rnacentral:rRNA from 1 species